rnacentral:rRNA from 1 species
UACGGGGGGGGCAAGCGUUGUUCGGAAUUACUGGGCGUAAAGGGCGCGUAGGCGGCCUUCUAAGUCAGACGUGAAAUCCCCCGGCUUAACCUGGGAACUGCGUCUGAUACUGGGAGGCUUGAGUAUGGGAGAGGGAUGUAGAAUUCCAGGUGUAGCGGUGAAAUGCGCAGAUAUCAGGAGGAACACCGAUGGCGAAGGCAGGUCUCUGGGCCAUAACUGACGCUGAGAAGCGAAAGCAUGGGGAGCGAACAGG